CCCUUAGAUGUUCUGGGCCGCACGCGCGCUACACUGGCAAAGACAACGAGUUUCCUGGAUCGCGAGAUUUGGGUAAUCGGGAACCUUUGCCGUGCUGGGGACUGACCAUUGCAAUUAUUGGUCACGAACGAGGAAUUCCUAGUAAGCGCGAGUCAUCAGCUCGCGCUGAUUACGUCCCUGCCCUUUGUACACACCGCCCGUCGAUACUACCGAUUGAAUGGCUUAGUGAGAGUUUUGGACGGAGCGCGCCGCAAGGCUGUGCUUCGGAAAUUGGUCAAACUUGGUCAUUUAGAGGAAGUAAAANUCGUAACA
rnacentral:rRNA from 1 species